rnacentral:misc_RNA from 1 species
AAGUCGUAACAAGGUCUCCGUAGGUGAACCUGCGGAGGGAUCAUUAACACAGCAAACGGAGGUAGGAAAGACCAGGGCUUCGGCCUCAGUCCCACUGCUUUUCUUUUGUUUUCCAUACCUAUACACCCCUUCGUGAACUUUAGUGCCCCUUUUUGUUUCUUCACUAUGAGCAGCUGUCAGUCAUGUACUGUUAGCUGUGAGUGGUGUUGGAACUCCCUUUUUGUUAACCCAAACCCUUUCCACUUCCUUUAUUGGAUUGUUUUGUACUAUGCAACGCUGAUGUUUUUCUCACGAGAAGCUUAGCGCCAGAGAAUACAAAAAAUUAUUAAAGCACAACUCUUAGCAACGGAUAUCUUGGUUCUC